UCCUGCAUGUUUUAGUUUCCUCCCUGGUUUAACGCACCUGGAUCCAAUGAUGGCUCGUUAGAGGCCUAAGAAGAGCAUUGACUUGCUGAAAUGGUUGUUACUACCACCAGGGAGAGAAUUAAGACAUGCAGGAUGCCAGCCCUCGAGGACCUACUUUGGGCACCCCUGAUCUAGAGCGACUGGGGAGAAAA